ensembl:lncRNA
GUCUAAACCAGACUCCAGAUCUCCUCACGGCCAUGAAGAAGGCACAAUUUAAUACUUUUGUGUAGAUUACGCAUGCUCUUGGAAGGCUUUCACAUGCUACUGGCCAAGGCUGGCAUAAUGGCUCAAAGCUUGUUCAGCAUGUUCUGAUGCCACUGGAAUGCUUUGCUUUUAUACCCCUUCUACAGCUACACACCAACAUCAGGAUGCUCAAAGACGCUAGAUCGCAUGGACUCAGAAGCUUCCCAGAUGUGCUGGCUUACAGAGUUGUGGAGCCACAGCUGUACAAGAGAACAGAGUUCACACCGAUGAAUUUGGUGGGUCUGACAUUGAGCACCCUAGGGUCUGUUUAGCAUGAUGUUUUUAGACAAGCAGUCUUCCCAAGAAGGACCUCUUGAAACAGACUUACAGGUUGAGUUUUGGAUUUAACUGACAUUCGUGUGUAAAUAUGAAUGAUUAGUAUGAACAGACUACUGUUGAAAUAUUUGUUUACAGUAACAGCAUGUUUAUUAAGUUUUAUUGAAUUUUGUUCAGUGUGCAAUAUUAAAUGCAGAACUUGCUUACAAAAAAUACAUAAAAUUAUGGAUUAUAAAGCUAUUUAUUGAAAGUUCUUUUUGAAAUGUUGCACUGUGAAACAAUGGUUUGGUUUAAAUCACAUGACCGAAGCAGAUGUUGUGUUAUAAUUUUGACUUUUAACUUUCCAUUUCUAGUGUGAUGGAUAGUCUCACCAGAACAUUCUCAUAGUCAAAGCUGCAAUGGAGAAUUUAUUGUACAUCUCUGAAGAGCGAAUACUUUCAGUGAAACUUGCCUCAGUUUUCCAUCUGUUAGUUCAAUGACACAAGCAGCUUCUCACUUUCCAAAGUAUUCCUAACUAUCAUGAUGAAACUGAGAUAAACAAGCUGCAAAACAGAACAAGGAGACUCAUUUAAGCCAAUUUUCAAGUCACAUCAUUUUAUUAUGUAAUUACUUCCACACAAUUAUGUAACUGAAUAGGGACUUUAUUAACAUCUUAGAGUUAAAAUAUAGUGUUUAAUAUACUUUGUUUUGUUCACUCCAGAUUAUAUAAUAUUAUAGAUUUAUAAUAAUGGUAUAUACUGUACAGUAUACUAUACUAUAACACACACACACACAC